rnacentral:rRNA from 1 species
GAUGAACGCUGGCGGCGUGCCUAAUACAUGCAAGUCGAGCGAACAGACGAGGAGCUUGCUCCUCUGACGUUAGCGGCGGACGGGUGAGUAACACGUGGAUAACCUACCUAUAAGACUGGGAUAACUUCGGGAAACCGGAGCUAAUACCGGAUAAUAUAUUGAACCGCAUUGGUCAAUAGUGAAAGACGGGUUUGCUGUCACUUAUAGAUGGAUCCGCGCCGUAUUAGCUAGUUGGUAAGGUAACGGCUUACCAAGGAAACGAUGCGUAGCCGACCUGAGAGGGUGAUCGGCCACACUGGAACUGAGACACGGUCGAGACUCCUACGGGAGGCAGCAGUAGAGAAUCUUCCGCAAUGGGCGAAAGCCUGACGGAGCAACGCCGCGUGAGUGAUGAAGGUCUUCGGAUCGUAAAACUCUGUUAUUAGGGAAGAACAAAUGUGUAAGUAACUAUGCACGUCUUGACGGUACCGAAUCAGAAAGCCACGGCUAACUACGUG